UACAGAGGUCUCAAGCGUUGUUCGGAUUCAUUGGGCGUAAAGGGUGCGUAGGCGGCGCGGUAAGUCGGGUGUGAAAUCUCGGGGCUUAACUCCGAAACUGCAUUCGAUACUGCCGUGCUUGAGGACUGGAGAGGAGACUGGAAUUUACGGUGUAGCGGUGAAAUGCGUAGAUAUCGUAAGGAAGACCAGUGGCGAAGGCGGGUCUCUGGGCCAUAACUGACGCUGAGAAGCGAAAGCAUGGGGAGCGAACAGG
rnacentral:rRNA from 1 species